GAAAUGCGAUAAGUAAUGUGAAUUGCAGAAUUCAGUGAAUCAUCGAAUCUUUGAACGCACAUUGCGCCCGCCAGUAUUCUGGCGGGCAUGCCUGUUCGAGCGUCAUUUCAACCAUCAAGCCCCCCGGCUUGUGUUGGGGACCUGCGGCUGCCCGCAGGCCCUGAAAAACAGUGGCGGGCUCGCUGUCACACCGAGCGUAGUAGCAUACAUUCUCGCUCAGGGCGUGCUGCGGGUUCCGGCCGUUAAACGACCUUCAUAACCCAAGGUUGACCUCGGAUCAGGUAGGAAGACCCGCUGAACUUAAGC
rnacentral:misc_RNA from 1 species